rnacentral:lncRNA from 1 species
UUUUUGGAGACAUAACAUAUCAUAUAUAUAUAUAUUCAUAUAUAUAUAUUCAUAUAUAUAUAUAUAUUCAUAUUCAUCCUGUUUAUAGUAUUACAGGUUUUUUCUCAUGGGAGUCCUGGACAUUAAAUAAAGUCCUUUCAUUGUUCGUUUUUCUUUUUUCUUUUUUUAAAUUAGGUACCCUUAAGUAUUCCAUAUCAAUGACAGAAUCACUGGCUGCCCGGAGCAGAGAGGGCCACCGUGGAGCUGUCACUUCUUCAAUCAGUUGUGUUUCAACUUUGAUUCAUGAUCCACUUGAAUCUGGAUGUGCUAUCUUGGAUGACACAGAAUGAAAUGCAAGAUAAUAAGAAGGAUACGAAAUGGAUUGUAAAGCUUCUGCUCAGAAGAUUUUAUGUCACCUCUUCUAUUUCACUCAUCAAACCAAGCCAUGUGUCUGAGCUUUGUGGCAACAGGACAGAGACCCAGUACUAGUAACAUGAUAUGGAAUAGAGAUGUAUAAUCCUA